rnacentral:misc_RNA from 1 species
UUCCACAACAAACAAAUUCCCACAAGAUUCUUCUAGAUUAUAUACUGAUCCAUCCCCCACUAACCCUAAGAUCAUAUACAAACAGACGCUAUAUUAUAUUAUGCUUCCAAAUUACCAUUGGAUGAGAUACAAAUUCACAUAAGAGACUAAAUUUCUGCUAUACCAUUGUCCAUAGGGUUUAAACCGGCUUCAGCUCUGUCCUGUUUGCAAAUUUUAAGAGCUCUUACCAGCAGAAUCUUGGAUUUGUUUCUGACCAUUCAAGCACAAAGCCAAAUCUAAGUUGUUCCUGCUUCCACCGCGUGGGCUGUUCAGAAUCUUGCUUGUUUCCUGAGUUUCUUCCUUAAAAACCUCAUUGACAUUUAGCUCUCCCUGAGCCUCAUUGCCCACAGUAUCCGUCUUUGCCGCCGACUGGUCCAUUUCUUUUACUCUAACUUCAUCUUUAACACUUAUCAAUUCUGCAUUUUUGUGCUUCUCCAGCACAGCAAUAGGAGUGUAACGGAACUUCCGUUUGGGGGGCUCGUCGGGCGGCGCGGUGGCUCCGUCAGCUUCCGAUGAAGUAGGCGGAUGAAUCGGAGUCCAGCGGCAGAGAAGAAGCUUCUGAGCGUUGGAUUGGGACUGAGAAGAGGGCUGGUAAGUAAGGCCGGAGGAAGAGGAAGAGGCCAACACCCACUUCUUCUUCCAUUUCCGGACGGGUCCGUUGAAGACGGUGGCCGCCGGACCGUACCGGGACGAGGCUCGGCCCAACCUGGAUCCGAUUCCCUCCAUUGAAGUUGAAGCCUCAAAGAAUUUUUG